rnacentral:sRNA from 1 species
GUUCUGAUUCUUCCAUGGUUGUCUUCUUCUUCUUCUUCUUGCUCUGUUUUUU